rnacentral:rRNA from 1 species
GACGAACGCUGGCGGCAUGCCUAACACAUGCAAGUCGAACGGAGUAAGAGAGAAGCUUGCUUAGCUCUUACUUAGUGGCGGACGGGUGAGUAACGCGUGAGUAACCUGCCUUUCAGAGGGGGAUAACGUUCUGAAAAGAACGCUAAUACCGCAUGAUAUAUUGGGGUCGCAUGGCCUUGGUAUCAAAGGAGCAAUCCGCUGAAAGAUGGACUCGCGUCCGAUUAGCCAGUUGGCGGGGUAAAGGCCCACCAAAGCGACGAUCGGUAGCCGGGUUGAGAGACUGAACGGCCACAUUGGGACUGAGACACGGCCCAGACUCCUACGGGAGGCAGCGGUGAGGAAUAUUGGUCAAUGGACGAGAGUCUGAACCAGCCAAGUCGCGUGCAGGAAGAAUGUCCUAUGGAUUGUAAACUGCUUUUGCAGGGGAAUAAAGUGCAUCACGUGUGAUGUUUUGUAUGUACUCUGCGAAUAAGGAUCGGCUAACUCCGUGCCAGCAGCCGCGGUAAUACGGAGGAUCCGAGCGUUAUCCGGAUUUAUUGGGUUUAAAGGGUGCGUAGGCGGGAUAAUAAGUCAGUGGUGAAAGUUUGCAGCUUAACUGUAAAAUUGCCGUUGAAACUGUUAUUCUUGAGAGUAGAUAAGGUAGGCGGAAUGUGUUGUGUAGCGGUGAAAUGCAUAGAUAUAACACAGAACCCCGAUUGCGAAGGCAGCUUACCGGGCUACAUCUGACGCUGAUGCACGAAAGCGUGGGGAUCAAACAGGAUUAGAUACCCUGGUAGUCCACGCAGUAAACGAUGAAUACUAGCUGUAUGCGAUAUAUUGUAUGUGGCAAAGCGAAAGCAUUAAGUAUUCCACCUGGGGAGUACGUUCGCAAGAAUGAAACUCAAAGGAAUUGACGGGGGCCCGCACAAGCGGAGGAACAUGUGGUUUAAUUCGAUGAUACGCGAGGAACCUUACCCGGGCUUGAAAUGCAAUCGACGGUAUUGGAAACAUUACUUCCAGCAAUGGCGAUUGUGUAGGUGCUGCAUGGUUGUCGUCAGCUCGUGCCGUGAGGUGUCGGCUUAAGUGCCAUAACGAGCGCAACCCUUAUCAUUAGUUGCCAUCGGGUUAUGCCGGGAACUCUAAUGAGACUGCCACCGUAAGGUGUGAGGAAGGUGGGGAUGACGUCAAAUCAGCACGGCCCUUACGUCCGGGGCGACACACGUGUUACAAUGGGGGGUACAGCGGGCAGCUACCUGGCGACAGGAUGCUAAUCUCUGAAAGCCUCUCUCAGUUCGGAUCGGAGUCUGCAACUCGACUCCGUGAAGCUGGAUUCGCUAGUAAUCGCGCAUCAGCCAUGGCGCGGUGAAUACGUUCCCGGGCCUUGUACACACCGCCCGUCAAGCCAUGGAAGCCGGGGGGACCUGAAGUACGUAACCGUAAAGGAGCGUCCUAGGGUAAAACCGGUAACUGGGGCU